UUGACAAGAGCAAUUCUCUCUGUCUCUACCAUUAUUGAUUGAUCGUACAACGGGAGAUCCGCUGCUGCUCCGUUGAUAUGUGAACUUGCUCCAGCGAUUCGCUCCGUCGAUCCGUGGACUUUCUCCAGUGACUUGCUCAAUCAACCUGCUUUGGUCAUUUUGUUCUACCAUUAGAUAUCCUUUGUCAAUUGCUCAAUCAAUUUCACAUUUGAUCUCUAUACCUCUCUCUUAUUAUCUUCAUCACUUUCGAUUUUGUUUGGAUGGGAAGAUUAAGUCCUGACAUAUAAGUCAUCUAGGUAUGUUUAUUUCUCAUCUCUAGGUUUUUUUAUGGCUACUCAAUUGAAAAAUCAAUUCUGAAUGAUUUUUUCUACUGCUAUCCUUAUUUAUUUAUUUUCAUAUUACAUUGUUAUUUAUAAUUAAUAUGGCGUUCUUUCAUUUGAUCGAAGUCAUAUCCUUAUUCUAUUCAACGUUUUCUAUUUUUAUUUAGUUUGCUCUUGUAUUCUAUAUACUUGUUCACAACCAAUGAAAUGAUUACAUCAUAUUUCCAUAUGUAAAAUUUUACUGGCUCAUUGGUUAGCUUUCUAAAUUCUUAUAUGAUAUUUUAAUUGUCAAUAUUGAUGGAAGUAUUUCACGGUGGUUGGACUGAAUUGAUACCAGAAGCACUAGUAUUAAUCUUUACAAAUUUACUAGAUAAACUUCAUUCAAUGCCACUCCUUUGUAAGUCAUGGAGCAAAGUCAUUUUGGAGCCUGAUUGCUGGCAUGACAUAAAUUUUGAAGGAUUGGAUGACUUACUGGUUACACAUGACUUUGAAGAAUUAACAAUCUCUUAUGUCAUUUGGUCAAUGCAUUUUCCACUAUUACUUUGCUAUAAAGAUAUAUUGGAAUUUUUAAGGCUGAUUGAGUUAGUGUUUGAGACUUAUUGUAAUAUUUUUUUAGCAGUGAAUGUGUUGAGUUUAUUAGA